UGGCUGGCUAAGCAGUGUGGAUACUUCGUAUAGCAAAAAGGUAUUGCAAUUAACUUCCAUUUAAUGUUUGUGGGUUCGAUCCCCACUGCGUUUAUUUCUACACGCGCGAUCCAGCUGUUUU
rfam:Strongylocentrotus purpuratus Contig35270_fixed, whole genome shotgun sequence.